GAAAUACUCCCUCCGUCCCAAAAUUCUUGUCUUAGAUUUGUCUAAAUACAGAUGUAUCAAGUCACGUUUUAGUAUUAGAUACAUCCGUAUCUAGACGAAUCUAAGACAAGAAUUUUGGGACGGAGGGAGUAUGCC
rnacentral:pre_miRNA from 1 species